AGCAGCCGCGGUAAUUCCAGCUCCAAUAGCGUAUAUUAAAGUUGUUGCAGUUAAAAAGCUCGUAGUUGAAUUUCGGGAUUAGUAAGUUGGUCGUGCCUCCGGUAUGUACUGGCUCUACUGGUUCCUCCUUCUUGAAGAACUGUAAUGUCAUUAAUUUGGUGUUGCAGGGAAACAGGACUGUUACUUUGAAAAAAUUAGAGUGUUUAAAGCAGGCUAACGCUUGAAUACAUUAGCACGGAAUAAUGAAAUAGGACGUUUGAUCCUAUUUUGUUGGUUUCUAGGAUUGACGUAAUGAUUAAUAGGGAUAGUUGGGGGCAUUAGUAUUCAAUUGUCAGAGGUGAAAUUCUUGGAUUUAUUGAAGACUAACUACUGCGAAAGCAUUUGCCAAGGAUGUUUUCAUUAAUCAAGAACGAAAGUUAGGGGAUCGAAGACGAUCAGAUACCGUCGUAGUCUUAACCAUAAACUAUGCCGACUAGGGAUCGGAUGAUGUUAAUUUUUUAAUGACUCAUUCGGCGCCUUA
rnacentral:rRNA from 1 species